CCGGCGCAGAUCCACCCAGCUGGAGGAUCCGGAGAGAAUUCUGAAGCGAUACGAACGCUCCUUACGUGGACUGGCUUCCUUUAUUUCUUCUUAAGAUUUUAAAGAAGAGGCUGUGCAGGACUGUAGAAGCUGCUGAAGUUUUGACUGUGGGUUUCAACUCUCCCUCUCACCCACGCUCUGUCUCCAAAAGCUGCAGGGGUUUCGCUGAGUUGGCAAAAACGCGUCGCGACGCAGCAACAGAAAUAAACUGUCAGCCUUCAAGAACUCCAACACACGCACAUCUUGUCCUCAUUGGACCUCCAAUGAGGGCUGAUCGGGUUAGCUGGUUUUCCAGCCCACUACUUUAUUUCCAACCCAAAAGUUGAACCUCAUGGCACCUGCGGCACUGUGAGAACAUAUCGCUGUGGAAAAUCAGGGAAGCUUUUCUUUCAUCUCAUCAGACCGUCUGGCAUGCCAUCACUGUCCAGCAGCGCCGCACAGCUUCAAAAGAGCAUCUUGUCUUCAAUGAUCCUUCACAGCACAGCAAAGGCAAGAGAGACGCCAUCAUAAUGGAAUACUUGAUUCUGAUUGGUCAGUCACGACAUGCUGUCAUAAAAUAUUUUUGUUUAAUGACUGAUGAUGAUACGGUAACUUUAAAAGGUAAAUGUACACUAAAUGCCACCAAAAAAGCUAAUUUAAUUUGAGCAAACCAAUUAGAACAAACAAUAACUAAUUUUAACAAAUGAACAAACCAAUAAUUUUGUUAAAUGUAUCAGACUUUCCAGCACUACUUAUCAAUCAGAGAAUUAUUUGUAAAAAUAGAGCAAAUUGAGUUCUAUCACAACAUCUAUCAGUGAAUCAUUUUCUUAAACUGAAUAAACAAAUCAGUUUAUUAAAAUGAACCAGACAUCCCAGAACUACGUAUCAAUCAGUACAUCAUGUUUUAAAACAUAAAAAAAGUGAUUCACUAAAAUAAACUGAUCUAUCCCAGCAUGACAUUUAUCAGUGAAUCCUUUGUUUGAAAUGAACAAACAAAUUGAUUUGUUGAAAUGAGUCAGACUUCCAAGCACAACAUAUCACUCAGUGAAUCAUUUUUUUUAAACCGAACAGAUUGAUUCAGUAAAAUGAAUUGAUCUGCCUCGCACAACAUCUAUAAAUGAGUUAUUAGUUUGAACAUAACAUAAAAAAAAAUCAACUUGUUAAAAAACGAACUGGACAUCCCAGUACUACUUAUCAAUCAGUGAAUCAUGUUUUAAAACAGAACUACAAAGUGAUUCUCUACAAUGAAGUGAUCUCCCCAGCACAUCUAUCAAUCAGUUUGCUUGAACUGAUUCAACAGAACAAACUAAUGAUUUGUGACUCAGACUUCCCAGUAAACCAUUGUUUUAACUGAUUUAUAGUCACCCUUCAUUUCUAUUUAGUUUCUAUUUCUAUUCAUUUCCAUUUAAUUACUCUUAAUUUCCAAAUUUAGUUCUAUUAGUUUGAUUAGUUAGGACAUCAUGUAGUUUUCCACUCUCACGGUAAGGACACGUCCACAGCGGUGUAAACCACAGGUGGCUGUAGAGGACGUAAGCGUUCUGAGACACAUCAGGUGUGAACGUGUUCCUGAUUGCCUCCUGUCCGCAGCGGCAGCGAUGUGUAAUCAGCGCUGAUAGACGAGCUGCCCGACCACGGCUUGAUGCAGAGUAUUUUAAGAGCUAAAAUGGGGCCCCCUCCCAACCCCCCACUAACCUCGCCCCAAAUUUUGUGGAAGACCACAAGGAGACGCACUGAAAAAGCCCACAUCCACAGUCCACAUUAAGAUCAGACCACCAUGUCUGAAAGCCAUUAUGGACUAUAUCUCAGACACGUGUAUGUAGGAAAGCACAUUCUUUCUCUCUCUCUCUGUGAAGCUGGACCAUUUCAGACCACCUUUAGUACUCUUAGGACAAAUAAGGAAUUGAAAGCUACACUACAAGCUCUGGUGUUUUUGUAAAGGUGUUGAUUCACACUAAAGGACAAACUGCUGUGGGACUAAGGGUGAGUUGGACUGAAUGUGUAUUUUUAAUGACAGUGUGUUGUGCAAAUACAGUGGGUUCCAAAAUCCUGUAACCACAUUCCCCUUUUUUAUUUAAACUUGACGUGACAUAAUUUUUGGGGGGAUUUUGGAACAAUUAAAAAUCAUUAAAAAAAUUUAAAAUUCUGAAAUAUUUCAGAUUUCUAGAAGGUGGUUUGGAUCAGACUUGUACAAAUGUUUUCGUGUGUGUUUUUUCCUGUUAAAAUAGUAAAAAGCUAAAUAUAUUUA